UUCUUUUUUUUUUUUUUUUUUUUUAGCAGACGUCUCACUCUUGUCGCCCAGGCUGGAGUGUAAUGGCAUGAUCUCGCCUCACUGCAACCUCCACCUCCUGGGUUCAAGCAAUUCUCCUGUCUCAGCCUCCCGAGUAGCUGGGACUACAGGCACUCAUCACCACACCUGGCUAAUUUUUGUAUUUUUAGUAUUUUCUGGUGAGGGUCCAGGUUUCCGGAAACAACUCAGAGACAUAUGUUAAGAUGUUAUCUUUAGUUUUCACAGGGAACCAAAUAUGUUACGACUCCAAUUUCCUUGGCUAUUGUUUUAAGUUACCAUUACCUUCUCGUUGAUCAAGUUGCUCAUUUACUUCUCAAGCCUAGCUAGAUGCCUGGAAUUUCCCUUGAAGGAAGUCAAGAUUUUCCUUUAUCUCCAUACUGGCUGAUGGUGAUCGAGUAAGCCCCUAAGAGGGGUCCCUGCUCCAUCUCGAGAUGCUGCUAGAUUCUACAGUGCCUAAUAAACAGCUCUCGCCUGGCCGACAAAGAGCUGCUUGCUCUCUGGAUAGCAAUUCCAAAGUGAACAGACAACAUCCUGUUUGGAAGACUGCCACUCUGUUAGAAGAAGCAUCAGGAAAACCUUUCUUUUGAGCUAUUUAUAACUAACAGCAAUUGACCAAGUAUACUUUUGAACCAUUGGAGAUACUCAUUACUCUUUGAAGGCUUACAGUGGAAUGAAUUCAAAUACGACUUAUUUGAGGAAUUGAAGUUGACUUUAUGGAGCUGAUAAGAAUCUUCUUGGAGAAAAAAAGACUGGAUCUUUCAUUGUAGUACUUCUGAAUUAACCAAAAUCACAGUAUUCUGAAGAUGAUUCUACAAAGCCUGCUGUUUCUACAAAGGCUGCUGAUGAUUUCUACAAAGCCUGCUGUAGUGUUGCUGUGGCCUCUGCUUAAAAAAGUAGAAAACACAUUGAUGCAGCAUGUUCACCCCAACCUCCCUGCCUAAAGGCUCAGGGACCAUCUUGGAAGAGGAAGGCGCGUGAGAUUGUAAGAGCCGAAUUAGGGGGAUGGAGUGUGGAGAAUAAGGACACUUCAUCUUGGAUGCUCACCUGCCAAAUUGACUUCUGAUGAAAGCCAGCUCCAGAAAUGUGCCUACAGUUACUACUUUCACCUAAACCCUGCCCUUAGUCAAAUCCUUCUCUUCUUCUAAGCAAUCAACUUCAAUUCCUUGUAUAACCCACAGUAUAAAAGGGCUUUUAUACCAUUCUAUCCUAUUGCAUGUAAGCCUUGGGUCUGGGAGGUAACAGUGUGGGAUUCCACCAUCUCAUCUCCCUGCCACCCAAACAUGCCUGCUCUUCUUUAAGCAAUAUUAAAUGUUUGUACUUCAGAAA
rnacentral:lncRNA from 1 species